CAUAAUUUGUUACGUUUGGGGAUGAUGCUGGCACAUUUACGUUGCAGCCGUUGUUGGGGAUGCCGCUCGGG